AAUAGUACCCGGGUAGUCCACGCCGUAAACGAUGAGUGCUAGGUGUUAGGGGGUUUCCGCCCCUUAGUGCUGCAGCUAACGCAUUAAGCACUCCGCCUGGGGGGUACGGUCGCAAGACUGAAACUCAAAGGAAUUGACGGGGGCCCGCACAAGCGGUGGAGCAUGUGGUUUAAUUCAAAGCAACGCGAAGAACCUUACCAGGUCUUGACAUCCCGCUGACCGCCAUGGAGACAUGGCCUUCCCUUCGGGGACAGCGGUGACAGGUGGUGCAUGGUUGUCGUCAGCUCGUGUCGUGAGAUGUUGGGUUAAGUCCCGCAACGAGCGCAACCCUUGUCCUUAGUUGCCAUCAUUCAGUUGGGCACUCUAAGGAGACUGCCGUACAAAUACGGAGGAAGGUGGGGAUGACGUCAAAUCAUCAUGCCCCUUAUGACCUGGGCUACACACGUGCUACAAUGGGUGGUACAAAGGGCAGCAAACCCGCGAGGGGGAGCGAAUCCCAAAAAGCCACUCUCAGUUCGGAUUGCAGGCUGCAACUCG
rnacentral:rRNA from 1 species